GGUUAAGCAGAGUUCUGACGCCCAGGUUCUAGCUCUUGUACCAGUUCUAAAGAGACCAACUCGCGAUGGGUACAAUUGGCGGAAGUAUGGUCAAAAGCAAGUUAAAAGUCCUCAAGGUUCUCGAAGUUAUUACCGAUGCACUCAUUCUGAGUGUUGUGCCAAGAAGAUUGAGUGCUCUGAUCACACUAAUCGUGUUAUGGAGAUUAUUUAUAGAACUCAAC
rnacentral:misc_RNA from 1 species